rnacentral:rRNA from 1 species
GAUGAACGCUGGCGGCGUGCCUAAUACAUGCAAGUCGAACGCAUUGUGGUUGAAAUGAUAUGAAGAACUCGUUCAGAUUUGAUUUUCAACAUUGCAAUGAGUGGCGAACGGGUGAGUAACACGUGGGAAACCUACCUCUUAGCAGGGGAUAACAUUUGGAAACAAAUGCUAAUACCGUAUAAUAAUUAAAACCGCAUGGUUUUAGUUUAAAAGAUGGUCUUGCUAUCACUAAGAGAUGGUCCCGCGGUGUAUUAGUUAGUUGGUGAGGUAAUGGCUCACCAAGACAAUGAUACAUAGCCGAGUUGAGAGACUGACCGGCCACAAUGGGACUGAGACACGGCCCAUACUCCUACGGGAGGCAGCAGUAGGGAAUCUUCCACAAUGGACGAAAGUCUGAUGGAGCAACGCCGCGUGUGUGAUGAAGGGUUUCGGCUCGUAAACACUGUUGUAAGAGAAGAAUGACAUUGAGAGUAACUGUUCAAUGUGUGACGGUAU